rnacentral:rRNA from 1 species
UACGGAGGGAGCUAGCGUUGUUCGGAAUUACUGGGCGUAAAGCGCGCGUAGGCGGCUUUGUAAGUUAGAGGUGAAAGCCCGGGGCUCAACCCCGGAACUGCCUUUAAGACUGCAUCGCUUGAAUCCGGGAGAGGUGAGUGGAAUUCCGAGUGUAGAGGUGAAAUUCGUAGAUAUUCGGAAGAACACCAGUGGCAAAGGCGGCUCACUGGACCGGUAUUGACGCUGAUGUGCGAAAGCGUGGGGAGCAAACAGG